UGGCUCUUUCAGGGUCCGAGUUGUAAUUUGUAGAGGAUGCUUCGGGCGUGGCGCGGGUCUAAGUUCCUUGGAACAGGACGUCAUAGAGGGUGAGAAUCCCGUAUGCGACCCAAUGCCUCCGUCCAUGUGAAGCUCCUUCGACGAGUCGAGUUGUUUGGGAAUGCAGCUCAAAAUGGGUGGUAAAUUUCAUCUAAAGCUAAAUACUGGCCAGAGACCGAUAGCGCACAAGUAGAGUGAUCGAAAGAUGAAAAGCACUUUGGAAAGAGAGUUAAAAAGUACGUGAAAUUGUUGAAAGGGAAGCGCUUGCAACCAGACUUGCUCGCGGUUGCUCAGCCGGUGUUCUCACCGGUGCACUCUUCCGCGAUCAGGCCAGCAUCGGUUUGGGCGGCUGGAUAAAGGCCACGGGAAUGUAGCUCCUCUCGGGGAGUGUUAUAGCCCGAGGUGCAAUGCAGCCUGCCCGGACCGAGGACCGCGCUUCGGCUAGGAUGCUGGCGUAAUGGUUGUAAGCGACCCGUCUUGAAACACGGACCAAGGAGUCUAACAUCUAUGCGAGUGUUUGGGUGUCAAACCCAUGCGCGUAAAUGAAAGUGAACGGAGGUGGGAACCCUUAAGGGUGCACCAUCGACCGAUCCUGAUGUCUUCGGAUGGAUUUGAGUAAGAGCAUAGCUGUUGGGACCCGAAAGAUGGUGAACUAUGCCUGAAUAGGGUGAAGCCAGAGGAAACUCUGGUGGAGGCUCGCAGCGGUUCUGACGUGCAAUCGAUCGUC
rnacentral:rRNA from 1 species